UACGGAGGAUCCGAGCGUUAUCCGGAUUUAUUGGGUUUAAAGGGUGCGCAGGCGGGAGAUUAAGUCGGCGGUGAAAUUUUGCAGCUCAACUGUAAAAGUGCCUUCGAAACUGGUUUUCUUGAGUGUAGAUGAAGUAGGCGGAAUUUGUGGUGUAGCGGUGAAAUGCAUAGAUAUCACGAGGAACUCCGAUUGCGCAGGCAGCUUACUAAACCAUAACUGACGCUCAGGCACGAAGGCGUGGGGAUCAAACAGGAUUAGAUACCCCUGUA
rnacentral:rRNA from 1 species